GAAGAAGAAGAAGAAGAAGAAGAAGAAGAAGAAGAGCAGGAUGAAUCACUUAUCAGUUGUACUCGUCCCGUUUGAUGGAUAAUGACGUUCAGUUGAAGAGGAAGCUAAAAGGAAAACUGCAUUGAGUCUCGAAGAGAAACUGUGAUCAUUCUCUACCUUGGUGAAAAGACAGAGGAGCUAAUCAAGGACUACAAGGUUUGUGAUGAUGAUGCUGCAGCCAUCCAAGAGGAACUCACUUCAUUUGUUCUUCAAAAAACUGAAACACAGGCUUUCCAGAAGAGCUUCCUGGAGCUGGAGGAUGGAAAUCAAAAACUUCUCCCCAAAGUCCAUAACCUCAAAGUCAGCUUUCGUUUAAUCUAGAAGGUUUAAGUUCUGGUAAAGUUUUACAGUUUGCAAUUUCUCAAGUUCUCUUAUGCACUUUGUGAGUCUGUUAUGUUCACAAUGCAUGAUGUUUCUGAUGCAUUUAAAGUGAAGCUGACUGUUAAGUCAGAAAUGUGACUCGUGGAAAAUUUUGCACAAUGUAAAUUCAGUAGAAACCCAAUUGAUGAUUUUUUUUUUAAGAACUUCUGCUCCAUU